AUACGUAGGUGGCAAGCGUUGUCCGGAAUUAUUGGGCGUAAAGCGCGCGCAGGUGGUUCCUUAAGUCUGAUGUGAAAGCCCCCGGCUCAGCCGGGGAGGGUCAUUGGAAACUGGGGAACUUGAGUGCAGAAGAGGAUAGUGGAAUUCCAAGUGUAGCGGUGAAAUGCGUAGAGAUUUGGAGGAACACCAGUGGCGAAGGCGACUGUCUGGUCUGUAACUGACACUGAGGCGCGAAAGCGUGGGGAGCAAACAGGAUUAGAUACCCUGGUAGUCCACGCCGUAAACGAUGAGUGCUAAGUGUUGGGGGGUUUCCGCCCCUCAGUGCUGCAGCUAACGCAUUAAGCACUCCGCCUGGGGAGUACGGUCGCAAGACUGAAACUCAAAGGAAUUGACGGGG
rnacentral:rRNA from 1 species